rnacentral:pre_miRNA from 1 species
CAAAUACUCCCUCCGUUCGGAAAUACUUGUCAUCAAAAUGGAUAAAAGGAAAUGUAUCUAGACGUAUUUUAGUUUUAGAUACAUCUCUUUUAAUCCAUUUUGAUGACAAGUAUUUUCGGACAGAGGGAGUAGAAA